UUGAUGACGAUUAAUUAAGGUCGCUUUAGGGAGUAAUCCCUAUCGAAAAACUAUGUGAAUUCAGGGAACAUCUGACCAUUAAGUUGAAGACAACCUCUGAGCGAAGCCUAGAAAUAGGAACGUGCAACGACCAUCGAAAGCUCCCUGUAGAGAUACAGCGCAAGUAGAGUACAGCCAAGUGGUAGAAGUGUUGGGUAAUCACCAUGUAAAACUUCUUUAAAUGGAAGCGCAUAGCCCCAGAAAUGGGUGAUGAUAUGGUCUGCUCUAUAUGGAAACAUAUAG
rnacentral:ncRNA from 3 species